UACGAAGGGGGGCUAGCGUUGCUCGGAAUCACUGGGCGUAAAGCGCACGUAGGCGGAUUGCUAAGUCAGGGGUGAAAUCCUGGAGCUCAACUCCAGAACUGCCUUUGAUACUGGCGACCUUGAGUCCGGGAGAGGUGAGUGGAACUGCGAGUGUAGAGGUGAAAUUCGUAGAUAUUCGCAAGAACACCAGUGGCGAAGGCGGCUCACUGGCCCGGUACUGACGCUGAGACGCGAAAGCGUGGGGAGCGAACAGG
rnacentral:rRNA from 1 species